rnacentral:lncRNA from 10 species
GUUCUCUCUUCAGGCAGUUGUUGUGUCUCUCAGCGCUUGUUGGGUUCACAACCUAUUAAAUAAGCCGGCUGGUCUUCACCCUCCCAGACAAGUCAACUCAGGGGAGGCAGCAGGGUGCGGGCCUUGGCCCACAGCCCUAGCCGGGGCCGGGGCCGGGGCCGGGACCAGGGCUGGUGCCCGGGGCCGCACUGUGAGGUGGGCAGGCGAGGAGCGGGAAGACCAUCUCUGCAAGUGCAGCAUAGCCUCGGCCUAGGACAGCGGGAGUGCGUGGCCAAAGCUGUGAGCAGAGGCACAGGUGGUGGCAGGCAGUAGAGGCGCCCCAUGGGGAACAUACUGACCUGUCGUGUGCACCCUAGCGUCAGCCUCGAGUUUGACCCAGCAGCAGGGGUCGGUGUGUCCCUCUGAAUCUGAGAUCUAUGAGGCAGUAGCUGAGGACAGGAUGGCAGGAGCGCCCAUGGCUGCUGCUGUACAGCCUGCUGAGGUGACUGUUGAAGUUGGUGAGGACCUCCACAUGCACCAGGUUCGUGACCGGGAGAUGCCUGAAGGUAAGGAGGUGAUAGGUGCCAUCUACCCUCGGUUUGCCUCUGGCUGCUGCUGUCCCCAAGGUUCCCUUUGAGGCAUCCUACACUUCGAGCUCCUUUCUGCUUGUAGCCAGCUUUCCCGGGGGCUGGCCAGGAACAAAAGCUGGCUCUGCCUUGAAUUCCCACCCCUUAGUCUUUCCCCACCGAGUCCAGUCAGUUUCUUUUCACCUCCCCUCCCAAUCGCCCAGUUCUUGCUCUCUCAUCUCAUUCUCCCAGGCUGGCAUGGGACCAUUUAUUUAUGGCUCUUGUCGAAUAAGCAGCAGUUGAAUAAAUGAGUUGAUAAAUUUUUAUAAAUGAUUACGUCCUUUUUCUUUUCUCCCUCUAUACAUAUAGCUUUGGAGUUUAACCUUUCUGCCAAUCCAGAGGCAAGCACAAUAUUCCAGAGGAACUCUCAAACAGAUGCUUUGGAGUUUAACCCUUCUGCCAAUCCAGAGGCAAGCACAAUAUUCCAGAGGAACUCUCAAACAGAUGUUGUAGAAAUAAGAAGAAGCAACUGUACAAAC